CAGUAGCCGCGGUAAUACGAAGGGUGCAAGCGUUACUCGGAAUUACUGGGCGUAAAGCGUGCGUAGGUGGUGGUUUAAGUCCGUUGUGAAAGCCCUGGGCUCAACCUGGGAAUUGCAGUGGAUACUGGGUCACUAGAGUGUGGUAGAGGAUAGUGGAAUUUCCGGUGUAGCAGUGAAAUGCGUAGAGAUCGGAAGGAACAUCUGUGGCGAAGGCGACUAUCUGGGCCAACACUGACACUGAGGCACGAAAGCGUGGGGAGCAAACAGGAUUAGAUACCCGUGUAGUCCCUGUCUCUUAUCC
rnacentral:rRNA from 1 species